ensembl:lncRNA
CUGGGAUGUCUCAUUGAGUCCCUAGGGGUUUAGUUCUGAAGUGCGGCGCAAAAUGGAAGGCGUUCUUAUCGUAACUCAUAGUAAGGAGACUUGCAAUAAUUAAGCGAACUUUAUUGCAGUACCUGUACGAGCUGACGAGAGAGAGAACACUAACCUCCCCCUAAGUGUACAAUUGGUUUGACCUCAGAUAAGAUGGCGGUCCCUAGGUUUCCUGCAUUUCAUCCAGUUGGCAAGUCCUACAGUCUGCAAGCCGGUCCGCCUUUCGUGAAAAGAAGCAUGCGCGACCUGCAGAGCUGGAGAGCGAAGCAUUUUGGGAAUUGAAGUCUCCUACCCUGGUCCCUCGUCUAGGCUCGGGGUUCCAGCAGCACAUUUUUUUCUGCUCACACUUCGAGUUCCGGAACAAGUGAACGAAAGUUGGACCCCAGGAGUGGGAUGGCGCAGGAGUCGAGAAGUGACGAUAAGGAAACUAAGGCUCAGAGAUGUCAAAUACCUUCUCCAAGAUUUACUACUAGUAAAUGACAAAGCUGGAAUCCAAUCAAGUUGGAGCCAAGGUUACACAUGCCUUGUAUCUGAGACCAAGAUGUUUGGACUUUCUCUGAAGGCGAUGCAAUGCCACUGAAAACUCUUGAGCAGGAAAGGAGCCGUGUGCAGAGCCCGCAGGAGAGGGAGAGAGGAGGGGCCCCUGCAAUAGUCACACAAUUUCAGGAUCUCAUCUCUGUAACUGAUGGGUGUAGAACAAGUGGAAUGUGAGUGAGCUGAAGCAGAGAGACCAGAUAAGAGGCUGCU